GGGUUGUGAGGUUAAGCGACUAAGCGUACACGGUGGAUGCCCUGGCAGUCAGAGGCGAUGAAGGGCGUGCUAAUCUGCGAUAAGCGCCGGUAAGGUGAUAUGAACCGUUAUAACCGGCGAUACCCGAAUGGGGAAACCCAGUGUGACUCGUCACACUAUCAUUAACUGAAUCCAUAGGUUAAUGAGGCGAACCGGGGGAACUGAAACAUCUAAGUACCCCGAGGAAAAGAAAUCAACCGAGAUUCCCCCAGUAGCGGCGAGCGAACGGGGAGGAGCCCAGAGCCUGAAUCAGCAUGUGUGUUAGUGGAAGCGUCUGGAAAGGCGCGCGAUACAGGGUGACAGCCCCGUACACAAAAGCGCAUGUGCUGUGAGCUCGAUGAGUAGGGCGGGACACGUGGUAUCCUGUCUGAAUAUGGGGGGACCAUCCUCCAAGGCUAAAUACUCCUGACUGACCGAUAGUGAACCAGUACCGUGAGGGAAAGGCGAAAAGAACCCCGGCGAGGGGAGUGAAAAAGAACCUGAAACCGUGUACGUACAAGCAGUGGGAGCACAGGUUUACCUGUGUGACUGCGUACCUUUUGUAUAAUGGGUCAGCGACUUAUAUUCUGUAGCAAGGUUAACCGAAUAGGGGAGCCGGAGGGAAACCGAGUCUUAAUUGGGCGUUAAGUUGCAGGGUAUAGACCCGAAACCCGGUGAUCUAGCCAUGGGCAGGUUGAAGGUUGGGUAACACUAACUGGAGGACCGAACCGACUAAUGUUGAAAAAUUAGCGGAUGACCUGUGGCUGGGGGUGAAAGGCCAAUCAAACCGGGAGAUAGCUGGUUCUCCCCGAAAGCUAUUUAGGUAGCGCCUCGUGAAUUCAUCUCCGGGGGUAGAGCACUGUUUCGGCUAGGGGGCCAUCCCGGCUUACCAACCCGAUGCAAACUGCGAAUACCGGAGAAUGUUAUCACGGGAGACACACGGCGGGUGCUAACGUCCGUCGUGAAGAGGGAAACAACCCAGACCGCCAGCUAAGGUCCCAAAGUCAUGGUUAAGUGGGAAACGAUGUGGGAAGGCCCAGACAGCCAGGAUGUUGGCUUAGAAGCAGCCAUCAUUUAAAGAAAGCGUAAUAGCUCACUGGUCGAGUCGGCCUGCGCGGAAGAUGUAACGGGGCUAAACCAUGCACCGAAGCUGCGGCAGCGACACUGUGUGUUGUUGGGUAGGGGAGCGUUCUGUAAGCCUGUGAAGGUGGCCUGUGAGGGUUGCUGGAGGUAUCAGAAGUGCGAAUGCUGACAUAAGUAACGAUAAAGCGGGUGAAAAGCCCGCUCGCCGGAAGACCAAGGGUUCCUGUCCAACGUUAAUCGGGGCAGGGUGAGUCGACCCCUAAGGCGAGGCCGAAAGGCGUAGUCGAUGGGAAACAGGUUAAUAUUCCUGUACUUGGUGUUACUGCGAAGGGGGGACGGAGAAGGCUAUGUUGGCCGGGCGACGGUUGUCCCGGUUUAAGCGUGUAGGUGUGUGUUCCAGGUAAAUCCGGUUCACUUUAACACUGAGGCGUGAUGACGAGGCACUACGGUGCUGAAGCAACAAAUGCCCUGCUUCCAGGAAAAGCCUCUAAGCAUCAGGUAACAUCAAAUCGUACCCCAAACCGACACAGGUGGUCAGGUAGAGAAUACCAAGGCGCUUGAGAGAACUCGGGUGAAGGAACUAGGCAAAAUGGUGCCGUAACUUCGGGAGAAGGCACGCUGACACGUAGGUGAAGUGAUUUACUCAUGGAGCUGAAGUCAGUCGAAGAUACCAGCUGGCUGCAACUGUUUAUUAAAAACACAGCACUGUGCAAACACGAAAGUGGACGUAUACGGUGUGACGCCUGCCCGGUGCCGGAAGGUUAAUUGAUGGGGUCAGCGCAAGCGAAGCUCCUGAUCGAAGCCCCGGUAAACGGCGGCCGUAACUAUAACGGUCCUAAGGUAGCGAAAUUCCUUGUCGGGUAAGUUCCGACCUGCACGAAUGGCGUAAUGAUGGCCAGGCUGUCUCCACCCGAGACUCAGUGAAAUUGAACUCGCUGUGAAGAUGCAGUGUACCCGCGGCAAGACGGAAAGACCCCGUGAACCUUUACUAUAGCUUGACACUGAACAUUGAGCCUUGAUGUGUAGGAUAGGUGGGAGGCUUUGAAGUGUGGACGCCAGUCUGCAUGGAGCCGACCUUGAAAUACCACCCUUUAAUGUUUGAUGUUCUAACGUGGACCCGUAAUCCGGGUUGCGGACAGUGUCUGGUGGGUAGUUUGACUGGGGCGGUCUCCUCCUAAAGAGUAACGGAGGAGCACGAAGGUUGGCUAAUCCUGGUCGGACAUCAGGAGGUUAGUGCAAUGGCAUAAGCCAGCUUGACUGCGAGCGUGACGGCGCGAGCAGGUGCGAAAGCAGGUCAUAGUGAUCCGGUGGUUCUGAAUGGAAGGGCCAUCGCUCAACGGAUAAAAGGUACUCCGGGGAUAACAGGCUGAUACCGCCCAAGAGUUCAUAUCGACGGCGGUGUUUGGCACCUCGAUGUCGGCUCAUCACAUCCUGGGGCUGAAGUAGGUCCCAAGGGUAUGGCUGUUCGCCAUUUAAAGUGGUACGCGAGCUGGGUUUAGAACGUCGUGAGACAGUUCGGUCCCUAUCUGCCGUGGGCGCUGGAGAACUGAGGGGGCUGCUCCUAGUACGAGAGGACCGGAGUGGACGCAUCACUGGUGUUCGGGUUGUCAUGCCAAUGGCACUGCCCGGUAGCUAAAUGCGGAAGAGAUAAGUGCUGAAAGCAUCUAAGCACGAAACUUGCCCCGAGAUGAGUUCUCCCUGAGACUUAGAGUCUCCUGAAGGAACGUUGAAGACGACGACGUUGAUAGGCCGGGUGUGUAAGCGCAGCGAUGCGUUGAGCUAACCGGUACUAAUGAACCGUGAGGCUUAACCUUACAACGCCGAAG
rnacentral:rRNA from 1 species